CGUUCCAUUGUUGAAGAGCUCCUGAUCCGAGUGGAGGAGACCCCGCAUGGCGAUGAGGUUCCGGUAGUACGCGUUGUCGAAGGUGUUGGCGGUCUGGACGUCGAGCGGGGCCAGGUUAUUGUCGCCGCCGGAGGAGGGGCAGUUCCGCUGGCGCUGGGAGGCGAAGCCGGCGUCGACGUUGGCGUCGUUGUAGAUGUGGGAGCGGAAGUUGACGCAGCGGGCCUGGCCGAUGGUGUGGGCGCCGGAGAGCGCGGUCAUGUCGCGGGCGUUCAAGCCCUUCGUGGCGAACGCGGCGAUGAGCUGGGAAAGGCUGGAGCCGGGGCCCGGGAGGUUGCUAUUGGCCGCGCUUUGGCUGGCGGUGGUGGCGUCCCUACGUCCCAACGCCACGGUCCAAGAUGGUCCACCGAGCUACAAGACAUCAAAGACAUAAUUUUCGGGCCACGAGUCUCUCCCUCACCGACUCUCUCAAUCAAAUCUAUCGAAGAAUUAGGUAAUCCAUUUCAGUUCGUGCGAGAUUUAGAUUUCCAUGAUUGAAAUUUGGGUGUAACACAAAUAGGAUUUAAUUGGACUCCAUCGACACCAAAAGAAUCGUACUGUCCGAGGCUCUGUUUUUCCUCGCCAACCUCCAGAGAACUUUAUGGGGAUUGGACGCAUUGCUUUGGACGAAUCCUGUUAGUGUUUAUCAUCAUUCUGUGAUCGGACGGCUAAUGAGAAGAAGAACAAUCUCAAUGUCCUCGAUCCAAUACGCAGGCGAAGUUGUCGGUGUAAGAACAGAGGAGGUGGAGAGAGGUGGCAACGACACUAAC
rnacentral:lncRNA from 1 species